CCUUCAAUAAAGAACCUCCGCUAACCAAACAAGGCAUCAAAUUUACCCUAAAAUUUCACUCCAUGUAGAACGCAAAACUUGACUGAGAAGUCCAAACAUCGUCAAACCAACGCAAUCCUCAAGCCACAACCCAAAUUCUCUAAACAUAGUCCAAGACAGGAAACAAGACAGUAACUUUU